rnacentral:rRNA from 1 species
GAUGAACGCUGGCGGCGUGCCUAUACAUGCCAGUCGAGCGAACGGACGAGAAGCUUGCUUCUCUGAUGUUAGCGGCGGACGGGGGAGUAACACGUGGAUAACCUACCUAUAAGACUGGGAUAACUUCGGGAAACCGGAGCUAAUACCGGAUAAUAUUUUGAACCGCAUGGUUCAAAAGUGAAAGACGGUCUUGCUGUCACUUAUAGAUGGAUCCGCGCUGCAUUAGCUAGUUGGUAAGGUAACGGCUUACCAAGGCAACGAUGCAUAGCCGACCUGAGAGGGUGAUCGGCCACACUGGAACUGAGACACGGUCCAGACUCCUACGGGAGGCAGCAGUAGGGAAUCUUCCGCAAUGGGCGAAAGCCUGACGGAGCAACGCCGCGUGAGUGAUGAAGGUCUUCGGAUCGUAAAACUCUGUUAUUAGGGAAGAACAUAUGUGUAAGUAACUGUGCACAUCUUGACGGUACCUAAUCAGAAAGCCACGGCUAACUACGUG